rnacentral:lncRNA from 1 species
GUACACAAUGUUUAUAAUUCCAGGGAAGUGAAAAGAGCAACUUUCCUCUAUAAUGUAAUUAUGUACUUUCUACAUCUAUGGUAACAAUACCUUAGUUUGAUUAUAGGUAUUUGUUUAGCGAUAGUCAGUUGGCCCUAGGCUAUAGUUCUAGAGGGUUUGGAAAAUCUCCCACAUCAGAGGUGGAAGCAGUGGAAGGAAAACAACAACAAAGGAUCAUGAUAAAGGACUCUGCUGUUACUCAAUGGAGAUACUAAUGCUAUGGAAACCAGCCAUAGGAAAUAAGCCAUUUGGGGAUGGUGUAAAGAGCAGGCUAUAAUGAAACCACUUAUAAUAUGUAAGCUGGAUGCAGAGAACUCCAAGACCCUAGAAAAUGAUGACGCCCCUAGAUGGAAGGAGCCUCAGAUCCUGAAUGACGGGUAGAGAGGGGAGGGAAAAGUAAACCUUUAUGUGUUAAGCCACUGAGAUUUGGGAGUGGCAUGUUUCAGCAGGUAGCUUACCUUGACUGACACAUCUAGUAACUAAGUUCUUUAAUUCAAGUAGACAUAGACGUUCCUUUUCCUAACCAAAAGUAUUGAUUCAUAACAUCCACAUAUAUUUCUCACUAGCUCUUAAGACGUAUCAAAAUGGUAAUGUGGUGUCAGGUUCAGUCAUAGCUUCUGAAAACUUCCCACCAUUUCUCAACCUCAGUUUAAAAUCAACUUGAUCUUUCC